CCCUUAGAUGUUCUGGGCUGCACGCGUGCUACAAUGAAGCGUCCAACAAGAUGCGAAGCCGAAAGGCUCAGCGGAUCUUUGAAGUCGUUUCGUGACCGGGACAGUUGAUUGCAAUUAUUCGACUCGAACGAGGAAUUCCUUGUAAUCGCGAUUCAUCAUAUCGCGCUGAAUACGUCCCUGCCCUUUGUACACACCGCCCGUCGCUCCUACCGAUUGAGCGAUCCGGUGAAUUAUUUGGAGUGUCCACGCAAGCCAAUCCGUUUACGUGGGUGCGAAAUUUUGUAAACCUUAUCGCUUAGAGGAAGGAGAAGUCGUAACA
rnacentral:rRNA from 1 species